ACUCCUACGGGGGCAGCAGUGGGGAAUAUUGCACAAUGGGCGCAAGCCUGAUGCAGCCAUGCCGCGUGUAUGAAGAAGGCCUUCGGGUUGUAAAGUACUUUCAGCAGUGAGGAAGGUGGGUAUGUUAAUAGCAUACUCAUUUGACGUUAGCUGCAGAAGAAGCACCGGCUAACUCCGUGCCAGCAGCCGCGGUAAUACGGAGGGUGCGAGCGUUAAUCGGAAUUACUGGGCGUAAAGCGCAUGCAGGUGGUUUGUUAAGUCAGAUGUGAAAGCCCGGGGCUCAACCUCGGAAUUGCAUUUGAAACUGGCAAACUAGAGUACUGUAGAGGGGGGUAGAAUUUCAGGUGUAGCGGUGAAAUGCGUAGAGAUCUGAAGGAAUACCGGUGGCGAAGGCGGCCCCCUGGACAGAUACUGACACUCAGAUGCGAAAGCGUGGGGAGCAAACAGGAUUAGAUACCCUGGUAGGCUCU
rnacentral:rRNA from 1 species